rnacentral:snRNA from 1 species
UGGCUGGGGCGGCACAUC